rnacentral:rRNA from 1 species
GAUGAACGCUAGCGGCAGGCUUAACACAUGCAAGUCGAGGGGUAACAGGGAUUGCUUGCAAUCCGCUGACGACCGGCGCACGGGUGCGUAACGCGUAUAGAAUCUACCUUUUACAGAGGGAUAGCCUUUAGAAAUGAAGAUUAAUACCUCAUAGUAUUUAGAAGUGGCAUCACUUUUAAAUUAAAGUUUCGAUGGUAAAAGAUGACUAUGCGUUCUAUUAGCUAGUAGGUAAGGUAACGGCUUACCUAGGCGACGAUAGAUAGGGGUCCUGAGAGGGAGAUCCCCCACACUGGUACUGAGACACGGACCAG